AUGAUGGCAGGAGGACUAGAUCAGCUAGUGGUGCUCUGGAAAGAGUGGGGGAUCCAAGUGCUGGUGCUGCUGAGUUUAGCACUGCAGGUGAUUCUCCUCAUCACGGCGGAGAUCCGCCCGUGCAAAGAUUCCGGCGUGUUAAGAGUCGUCGUGUGGUCAGCAUACCUACUGGCUGACACGACGGCGAUAUACACUCUGGGCCAUAUGUCGGUGAGCAGCACCAGCAGGUCGCCGCCGGAGCACGAGCUGGUGGCGUUGUGGGCUCCGUUCCUGCUACUGCACCUUGGUGGCCAGGACAACAUCACAGCCUACUCCAUGGAGGACAACCGGCUGUGGUUGCGCCACCUGCAGAGCUUCGUUGUGCAGGUCCUCGCGGUCGCUUAUGUCCUCUACCAGUCAUCCAUCUUUGCAGAUGGCCGACAGACCAUGCUUGGCCAGGUCACCAUCCUCAUGUUCGUGGUUGGUGUUGUCAAGUAUGGGGAGAGAGUAUGGGCAGUCAAGUGCGCCAGCAGCAGUUACCUGUCCGGGAAGAACUACCAGAGUUUUGGCAAGGUGCGUAUUAAUGGUUAUGGCAGCAUCUUUGAGAGGCAGACGGAAGAAUUUCUAGCUCAUCUACUGUUGAACAUUCCCAAGCAUCUACUUAAGGGGCCGUUACCUGUUGUGGCAGUUGAGAUGGUUGUAGGUUGUGGCUGGGAGCUUAUGUACGAUGUAGCCGAGAUCCAACUCUCGCUGAUGUACGAUGUCUUCUACGGCAAGACUGAGUUGAUCCACAGUUGGUACGGGUACUGCAUCCGUGUCGCCUCGCUGCUGGUCACUGUCACCGCAUUGAUGUGGUUUUGUCAAGCUGGUGAGAAAGAUGGUUUCAGCAGAGUAGAUGUAACUGCCACUUACGUCUUGCUAGUUGGAGCCGUCAUCCUGGAGAUCAUAUCCUUGCUGAGGGCCAUGCUCUCCAGCUGGAUAUUGCAGCAAAUGAUCCCAUUUAGUACUGAUGAUCGCUCUACCUCUGGUGUUAGUGCUGCAUUAAUGUCUUUGUUUUGUCCUGCAUAUCUAUCUAGGCUGCUCUUCAUAUGUGCAAUAAGGAAAGUAGGAAUACAGACAAGGCACUGGUCGGGCUCCAUGGGGCAACACAACUUGAUUUACAUGUGCAGCCACUGCAAGGACAGCCGAAGCAGCAAAAUCGCGAGAUGGAUGGGACGGGAGGACUGGUGGAACACACUGGUCUACACGUCGUCAUCUGUCCCCGUCUCGGAAGAUUUCAGUCAGCUGUUGAAGAAACAAUUGACAGCAAGUGUGGACAUCAACAAAGAGGACCCAGAUCACAUCCAAAACUCAAGGGGGCGGGCAGCACUGAAG
rnacentral:rRNA from 1 species